UACGUAGGGUGCAAGCGUUAAUCGGAAUUACUGGGCGUAAAGCGUACGCAGGCGGCUUUGCAAGACAGGUGUGAAAAUCCCCCGGGCCUACCUGGGAACUGCAUUUGUGACUGCAUGGCUAGAGUUUGUCAGAGGGGGGGUGGAAUUCCACGUGUAGCAGUGAAAUGCGUAGAUAUGUGGAGGAACACCGGUGGCGAAGGCGGCGACCUGGGUCGACACUGACGCUGAGGUGCGAAAGCGUGGGGAGCAAACAGG
rnacentral:rRNA from 1 species